rnacentral:rRNA from 1 species
UACGAACCGUGCGAACGUUGUUCGGAAUCACUGGGCUUAAAGGGCGCGUAGGCGGGCGAUCAAGUCAGGGGUGAAAUCCUGCGGCUUAACCGUAGAAGAGCCUUUGAUACUGGUUGUCUAGAGGGAGAUAGGGGCAUGUGGAACUUCCGGUGGAGCGGUGAAAUGCGUAGAUAUCGGAAGGAACGCCGGUGGCGAAAGCGACGUGCUGGAUCUCUUCUGACGCUGAGGCGCGAAAGCUAGGGGAGCAAACGGG